rnacentral:rRNA from 1 species
GAUGAACGCUAGCUACAGGCUUAACACAUGCAAGUCGAGGGGAAACGAUAGAGAAAGCUUGCUUUUUCUAGGCGUCGACCGGCGCACGGGUGAGUAACGCGUAUCCAACCUGCCCAUCACUUGGGGAUAACCUUGCGAAAGUAAGACUAAUACCCAAUGACGUCUCUAGAAGACAUCUGAAAGGGAUUAAAGAUUUAUCGGUGAUGGAUGGGGAUGCGUCUGAUUAGCUUGUUGGCGGGGUAACGGCCCACCAAGGCGACGAUCAGUAGGGGUUCUGAGAGGAAGGGCCCCCACAUUGGAACUGAGACACGGUCCAAACUCCUACGGGAGGCAGCAGUGAGGAAUAUUGGUCAAUGGACGAGAGUCUGAACCAGCCAAGUAGCGUGCAGGAUGACGGCCCUAUGGGUUGUAAACUGCUUUUAUAAGGGAAUAAAGUGGGAGUCGUGACUCUUUUUGCAUGUACCUUAUGAAUAAGGACCGGCUAAUUCCGUGCCAGCCGCCGCAGUAACAC